rnacentral:rRNA from 1 species
AGAGUUUGAUCAUGGCUCAGAUUGAACGCUGGCGGCAGGCUUAACACAUGCAAGUCGAGCGGGGGAAGUUGCUUCGGUAACUGACCUAGCGGCGGACGGGUGAGUAAUGCUUAGGAAUCUGCCUAUUAGUGGGGGACAACAUCUCGAAAGGGAUGCUAAUACCGCAUACGUCCUACGGGAGAAAGCAGGGGAUCUUCGGACCUUGCGCUAAUAGAUGAGCCUAAGUCGGAUUAGCUAGUUGGUGGGGUAAAGGCCUACC